GUUAUAGAUGAGCAUCAAAAAGGAAGAUUUUUUAAAAGUAAUGGAUACAUAUUUUUCAAGUGUUAACCGACUUGCUUUAUCUAUAUUUUUUAUCGACAUAUGUAUUGCAAAAUAUACGAAAAAGAUCCUCGUAUAUUUCCUCAUUAUUGCAAUUCAUCUGAGUGUUAGUACGACCACCAAUCUCAAUAUUGUCAUAAACACCACUCUGUGUAUCACUAGAACGUCGACUUCGUUCAUAAUCGUUAAGUUGGCUGGUUAGGGGUAAUUCACCAGGACGUUGGUUGUUGCUGAAACAUGAUCAAUGAUAUGCAGUCAACUGUUAAACUUGUCAAGGUGUAUAUGUUGUGUAAUCUUAAAGGCACUUUAAAACAUCGAUCUAUGUUACAAUUUUAUAUGAUAGAGAAUAUGUCGUUAUGAUACUAAAUGAAAAUAAAAUUUUAUUAGUCUUAUA